UUCAUUCUGAGCUGCAGCUCUCUGACAGCAGUGUAAAUGUCAGUUGUGCAACUUCUAGAUCUGUCUCAAGGAGAUACAGCUUUUUGUAAAACCGAUUCCAGGAGAUUAGCAGGAAAUCAGAAAUGAUGGAAUCAUUUAAAUUAUGAAUAUCAACAAGCAGUGUUUCCAUCUUGCGGAUGUUAGCUUGAACCAAUAAUUAUGGUAAAACAAGUCCUGCUGACGAUAAAGCUGUGCUCAAUCACAAACCAAGUAGUAUGAACAAAAAUCUAGAACACAGCACCACAGCAAACCAACAAAAAGCAGACGGCAAAGAGCAGUGUCAAAUCCAAAUAGACUUUUAUUCGAACACAGAGCAGUCUGUGUUAAAAGAUGGAAGAACUGGGUGCACCAGGUGAGGAUGAUGGAUAUGUUCUGCGGGCCAUUCAUGACCUAAAAAGUAAGUGUUAUAAUAUGAGUCUAUUUUGUAUACAUGAGUUGACUCCUAUAGGAAAAAUAUUUGAAGAGAAAUGCAGCAAAGGUAACAAAUUUCACAAUACAAAAAAUACGAUCACAAAGGGGGAGUGUAGAACAAAAGAUUAGUAAAUAGAAGUUAAACGGAUAGAAGUUGAAGUUAUAGAAUGCCCGUGAAGUGAAGGAUUUAGUGUAGAAAGUCGAACACAGGUUACCUCAUAGCAUGAUGGAGAAUGAGUCCCACGGGUACGCAGAAACAGGUGGAACGGGAGAGAUGUGAAGAAGAAGUAUGGGCAUAAGAAAGAAAAAGAUAUUUAAUAUGGGGCAAUAUUUAUGCAAAGAAGAAAGGAAACUAAUCAAUACAAAAAAGCAGCACCAAUGAUACGUGAAGAGAAAUACAGGCCAAGGCAUCCCGAUAUGGAAAGUUUUGCAAACAAAAAUUAAGAA